rnacentral:rRNA from 1 species
GGAGUCUGGGCCGUGUCUCAGUCCCAAUGUGGCCGUCCGCCCUCUCAGGCCGGCUACUGAUCGUCGCUUUGGUGGGCCGUUACCCCGCCAACUGGCUAAUCAGACGCGGAUCCAUCUCUCACCGAUAAAUCUUUCCUCUUAAGAUCAUGCGGUCUUAAGAGCGUAUGCGGUAUUACCAGCCGUUUCCAGCUGCUAUCCCCCUGUGAAAGGCAGGUUAUCCACGCGUUACUCACCCGUCCGCCACUCGCUUGUCCCCCGAAGGGAACUCGCUCGUUCGACUUGCAUGUGUUAAGCACGCCGCCAGCGUUCAUC